AGAGUUUGAUCCUGGCUCAGGAUGAACGCUGGCGGCGUGCUUAACACAUGCAAGUCGAACGAACCUUCGGGUUAGUGGCGGACGGGUGAGUAACGCGUGGGAAUCUGCCCUCAGGAGGGGGAUAACGGUUGGAAACGGCCGCUAAUACCCCAUAUGCCGAGAGGUGAAAUGAAUUUCGCCUGAGGAUGAGCCCGCGUCUGAUUAGCUAGUUGGUGAGGUAAUGGCUCACCAAGGCAUCGAUCAGUAGCUGGUCUGAGAGGAUGAUCAGCCACACUGGGACUGAGACACGGCCCAGACUCCUACGGGAGGCAGCAGUGGGGAAUUUUCCGCAAUGGGCGCAAGCCUGACGGAGCAACGCCGCGUGAGGGAUGAAGGCCUCUGGGCUGUAAACCUCUUUUCUCAAGGAAGAAGAUCUGACGGUACUUGAGGAAUAAGCCACGGCUAAUUCCGUGCCAGCAGCCGCGGUAAUACGGGAGUGGCAAGCGUUAUCCGGAAUUAUUGGGCGUAAAGCGUCCGCAGGCGGCUUUUCAAGUCUGCUGUUAAAACGUGGAGCUUAACUCCAUCAAGGCAGUGGAAACUGAUUGGCUUGAGUGUGGUAGGGGCAGAGGGAAUUCCCGGUGUAGCGGUGAAAUGCGUAGAUAUCGGGAAGAACACCAGUGGCGAAGGCGCUCUGCUGGGCCAUAACUGACGCUCAUGGACGAAAGCCAGGGGAGCGAAAGGGAUUAGAUACCCCUGUAGUCCUGGCCGUAAACGAUGAACACUAGGUGUCGGGGGAAUCGACCCCCUCGGUGUCGUAGCCAACGCGUUAAGUGUUCCGCCUGGGGAGUACGCACGCAAGUGUGAAACUCAAAGGAAUUGACGGGGGCCCGCACAAGCGGUGGAGUAUGUGGUUUAAUUCGAUGCAACGCGAAGAACCUUACCAGGGUUUGACAUCCUGCGAAUCUCUUGGAAACGAGAGAGUGCCUUUGGGAACGCAGUGACAGGUGGUGCAUGGCUGUCGUCAGCUCGUGUCGUGAGAUGUUGGGUUAAGUCCCGCAACGAGCGCAACCCACGUUUUUAGUUGCCAGCAUUUAGUUGGGCACUCUAGAGAGACCGCCGGUGAUAAACCGGAGGAAGGUGUGGAUGACGUCAAGUCAUCAUGCCCCUUACAUCCUGGGCUACACACGUACUACAAUGCUACGGACAAAGGGCAGCAAGUUCGCGAGGACAAGCAAAUCCCAUAAACCGUGGCUCAGUUCAGAUCGUAGGCUGCAACUCGCCUACGUGAAGAAGGAAUCGCUAGUAAUCGCAGGUCAGCAUACUGCGGUGAAUACGUUCCCGGGCCUUGUACACACCGCCCGUCACACCAUGGAAGUUGGCCACGCCCGAAGUCGUUACUCCAACCCUUGUGGAGGAGGACGCCGAAGGUGGGGCUGAUGACUGGGGUGAAGUCGUAACAAGGUAUCCGUACCGGAAGGUGCGGAUG
rnacentral:rRNA from 1 species